AUUGAAUAGUUUAAAAAAAAAUACUAGUUUUGGAAACUAGAGAUGUAUAACUAUUUCAUUGAU
rnacentral:tRNA from 1 species